AAUAAAAUAAAUUUAAUAUUAAUUAACUACAAAUUGUAUAAUAAUUUAACUGCAACUAUUUAAUUGGAUUAAUAAUAUAUUUUCAAUACUGCUUAUGUAUCAUGAAUUCUUCAUGAAAAAUUGAUAAGUGAAAAUCAAUAGAAAAUAUGAAAUCAAAAAAGUGUCUUAAGUACCUAAGCUACACAUUUUUAAUAGACCUACAGUAUUGGAGGAAUCAUUCAAAAAUUCAAGUUUAUGCUUUUUAUUGUUUUUAAAAAGUAACGAUUAGUAAGUCAGUAAAAUUAUCAUACCUUCAAGCCAUCUUAGUAAAAAGCAGUCGUCGUAUUUUUCAUCCAAUUUUAAGUCUGCAACGCUUCUUCGCAACUGAAACAGUACAAUAAUGUAAUGUUAUUAUUAUCGAAUACUGUAUU